rnacentral:rRNA from 1 species
AAUGGGCGCAAGCCUGAUCCAGCCAUGCCGCGUGAGUGAAGAAGGCCUUCGGGUUGUAAAGCUCUUUCGGUGGGGAAGAAAUGGCACGGGUCAAUACCCUGUGUCGAUGACGGUACCCGACUAAGAAGCACCGGCUAACUACGUGCCAGCAGCCGCGGUAAUACGUAGGGUGCGAGCGUUAAUCGGAAUUACUGGGCGUAAAGCGUGCGCAGGCGGUUUGGUAAGUCAGAUGUGAAAUCCCCGGGCUCAACCUGGGAACUGCAUUUGAGACUGCCCAACUGGAGUUUGGCAGAGGGGGGUGGAAUUCCACGUGUAGCAGUGAAAUGCGUAGAGAUGUGGAGGAACACCGAUGGCGAAGGCAGCCCCCUGGGCCAAUACUGACGCUCAUGCACGAAAGCGUGGGGAGCAAA